rnacentral:misc_RNA from 1 species
UCCGAUUUGUCACCGGCGGUCUCCCUAGAGUGCCCAACUAAAUGGUGGCAACUAGGGACAAGGGUUGCGCUCGUUGCGGGACUUAACCCAACAUCUCACGACACGAGCUGACGACAGCCAUGCAGCACCUGUCUCCCGGUUCCCGAAGGCACCCCCACAUCUCUGCGGGGUUCCGAGGAUGUCAAGGCCAGGUAAGGUUCUUCGCGUUGCAUCGAAUUAAACCACAUGCUCCACCGCUUGUGCGGGUCCCCGUCAAUUCCUUUGAGUUUUAACCUUGCGGCCGUAGUCCCCAGGCGGUGAACUUAAUGCGUUAGCUGCGGCACUGAUCGGGUCAAUCCGACCAACACCUAGUUCACAACGUUUAGGGCGUGGACUAC